UGCGGAAGUGACAAGCUAACAGUAAGCAGCUAAUAGCAAGAAUAUAUCUACAGAAUUAUAUGAAUCAUUCAAUUAAAAUACACAUUUACAUCCUUUUCUCUCUCUGCUUCUUUAAAGCAUGCCUCCAUGUGAUUCUUCCCGUUUUGACUUCUGUCAGCUUUUUGCCUCUUAAAUAAUUUUCUGUGGUGGUUUACUCAACUUUCUCACAAAUAUACUGAUAUUUACAAAAGAAGAAUGAGUGGUUAGAAUCUACAAAUCUGUGCAUAAUUCCGUAAAUACACACAGCUUUAUAAAUCUGAGUGAAAGCAUGCAUAUAUAUUUGCAAGUCAAUUAGACAAUGCUUUGCUUUCAAUGUGCAAUAACCUACAUCUAUGUGGUGAGCCUGAAGGAUGCAUCUGAUAUUCCUGUGUUGGUGCUUUUCCUGCAUCAUUAUAACAUAACAUAACAUAACAUAACAUUCCCUGUUAAUUUUUACAAUAUAGUAAAUAUUUUAUCAAGGUAUAUUUGCUGUAAGCUAAAUUUAGGUUACUCACGUUGGUUUACUAGUGAUACUUUUUUUUUUUUUUAAAUUGUUCUUGGCUAAUGCUAACUAAAAGCUCAGACAGCGUCACUGCAAUGUUUAUCCUGGAGCUACAGCACCAGCACUGGGAUAUCAGGUCGCCGAGUCAGAGUUGUGUUCUACAAAUUUUGUUUAAUGGAUUAUGAAUCAGUUUAACCUAAAAUCAGACCUUUCAGUGUUAUAAAGGUGGUUCUCUUUUUACCUGGGUAGAUCAUGAUAACAGGUCCUGCUGAACAGAUAGCCUGGUCUGGACCAGGCUAUGUUAACGGUGUCGGUUUAAAAUCUCCUAGAAGUGCCUGGAAGCAACUUUGCCAUGUAUUUAAACACAACUGUUUGAUUUUGGUGUCCAUGUUUGAUGCAGCUGGUCAGUCAUUUCUACUACUCCCCCCUCUGAGGAUGACAACUGGUUCUGCUUCUGGUGUUCCAGAGAGGAUCAGUGGACCCUUUUGCCUCUUUGACCUUUUUUUGAUGACUUUAGUAUAAGGGCUGAUACUGUACAGUAAUUUUUUUUUUUAAUGUGAUUGUCCUCAAUUGUCACAGUUUUAUGACUACAAUGGAUCCUUCUGCACAUUAAAUGUGUCAGCAGUAGCCUUAUUUAAUGAGCACAAGUUUAUAAAAUGACCUUCACAGGAUUGCUUGGUAAAAAUUAAUUACCAGACAGUUCAAGUUUUUAAGAUGUGUGUAUCACAGCAGAGAUGACCAAAAUGCUGGUGUUGAAUGCAAUAAACAAAUCAGAUGAGAUGGGGGGGAUGCUCAGAUUAGCCAGCUUGAUUAAAUGAGUAAUUAUCAAAGAUUGAG
ensembl:lncRNA